GGGUCUCGAUUCACUUGCAAGUGAACCCGGGUUCCGUUCGAAUGCAGUGUGAAAGCUCACCGGACCAAACACAGGACCAAAUGUAAGUAAUGAAGCUAUACGCAGUGCAUCUUGGGUAGAGGAAGCACAGCGUCCCUUGUUGCUAUGGCAGCGAGUGACCGCUGACAUUAGCAGUUGCUAGCUAGCUUUGCUCAAUUGUCUGAACAACAAUAACCCAUAAAUUCACAAUUUGGCAUAUUUAAACAAAAUCCAAUCACAACUACCAACAGUCACAGUCCUUAAACUCUGAGCUCAUAUGUUGUCACGUUAGAUCCUCAAAGUUAGAAAAAUA